rnacentral:rRNA from 1 species
CUACGGGUUGCUGCAGUGGGGAAUAUUGGACAAUGGGGGAAACCCUGAUCCAGCCAUGCCGCGUGCGUGAAGAAGGCCUUAGGGUUGUAAAGCGCUUUCGGCGGGGAAGAUGAUGACGGUACCCGCAGAAGAAGCCCCGGCUAACUCCGUGCCAGCAGCCGCGGUAAUACGGAGGGGGCUAGCGUUGUUCGGAAUUACUGGGCGUAAAGGGCGCGUAGGCGGGUCAUUAAGUCAGGGGUGAAAGGCCCGGGCUCAACCCGGGAACUGCCUUUGAAACUGAUGGUCUGGAGUCCGGAAGAGGAUGGCGGAAUACCCAGUGUAGAGGUGAAAUUCGUAGAUAUUGGGAAGAACACCAGUGGCGAAGGCGGCCAUCUGGUCCGGUACUGACGCUGAGGCGCGAAAGCGUGGGGAGCAAACAGGAUUAGAUACCCGAGUAGUC